AACGAACGCUGGCGGCAGGCUUAACACAUGCAAGUCGAGCGCCCCGCAAGGGGAGCGGCAGACGGGUGAGUAACACGUGGGGAUCUGCCCGAUGGUACGGAAUAACUCAGGGAAACUUGUGCUAAUACCGUAUAAGCCCGUAAGGGGAAAGAUUUAUCGCCAUCGGAUGAACCCGCGUCGGAUUAGCUAGUUGGUGGGGUAAAGGCCCACCAAGGCGACGAUCCGUAGCUGGUCUGAGAGGAUGAUCAGCCACACUGGGACUGAGACACGGCCCAGACUCCUACGGGAGGCAGCAGUGGGGAAUAUUGGACAAUGGGCGCAAGCCUGAUCCAGCCAUGCCGCGUGAGUGAUGAAGGCCUUAGGGUUGUAAAGCUCUUUCGCCGACGAAGAUAAUGACGGUAGUCGGAGAAGAAGCCCCGGCUAACUUCGUGCCAGCCGCCGCAGUAAAAC
rnacentral:rRNA from 1 species